rnacentral:rRNA from 1 species
AUGUUUAAUUUCUUUUCAGGCGAGGGAGCAUCAAUUGAUCAGCUUGUGAACUGGAUUGUGACCGCUCAAGAAGCUAAAACUGAGGAAACUGCUGAAUUGCUGCCUGAGGUAAUGGAUAAACCACUUUCUUUGCUCAAGAUGGGUUUCAAUAAAGAAGAGGUCUCAGCUGUGAUUGCUAUUUUCGGUGAGGAAGCAACAGUCGAGGAGUUGGCUGACUCGAUAUUUGCAAGACGCUUCUCAAAUACCACUGAGCAGAAAAAGGUGAAGAUAGAGUCUGAAUUUCCGGACGAGACAGAAACUGGGUAUUCAACAUCGAGAUUGAGGUUCUAUGAUGAUGAGGAUGAUGCCAACAUCAGAUGUAAAAAGGCCAAGCAUGCAUUUGGAGAUGACAGAAGGGCGUCAAGCAGUCAGAAUGUUAAUCAAUCUAGCCGCACUCCAUGGUUAAGUCGUUGUUCUGGGUCAAUUGCUAAUGGUUCUCUGAAGGAUGAAGAUGUUGAAAGGACAUCAAGCCCUGGUAGAAAUAUCCACGGUGACCUUGUCAAACCUCCCUUCUUCAUCUAUGCAAGUCUGGUUGACAUCACCAAAGAAACUUGGAAUACCUUAUCGAGUUUCUUAUUCAAUGUUCAACCGGAGUAUCUAAACAGUCAGUCCUUCUCAGCUCUAACGCGAAGGGAGGGUUACAUUCAUAACCUUCCAACGGAGGGAAGGCAUGUUGCUGUUCCAAGUUCACCAAUGACGAUCAGAGAUGCAUUACCUUUGACAAGGCAGUUCUGUCCCUCCUGGGACACGAGAAAACGGAUUGAUGGUGUUGGCUUAGAUGUGGCAGGAACUGAACAGAUUCGUGCGAAGCUGGAGAAGGCAAUGAGAGAUUCACGAGGAAUUCUUUCAGAAGUGAAGCAAGCACAGAUUGUCCAACAAUGCAAGACGGCGAAUCUUGUCUGGAUCGGUCAAGGCAAGUUAGGCCCUCUGCAGCCACACCAGAUGGAAGCGAUACUAGGCUAUCCAGCUAACCACACAGAUCUGCCGGGCAUAGACCCACACGACAAGGUUGCUUCUUUGAGGUAUGCCUUGCAGACAGACACCAUGGCAUACAUUUUGUCGGUCCUAAAGGACCGGUAUCCUGAUGGGCUGAGGGUCCUCUCUAUUUUCAGUGGAGUUGGGGGUGCAGAAGUUGCUCUACACCGUCUUGGCAUCCCGCUGAGAUGCGUGGUGUCCGUAGAGGAGUCUGUGGUGAACCGUAGAGUUCUAAAGAGGUGGUGGGGGGAAACCCAGCAGAAUGGAAAGCUGAGACAACUGGAUAGGAUCCAGAAGCUAGAUACUAAGGAGUUUGAGGCCCUGAUGAAAGAGUUUGGUGGUUUUGACCUGAUUGUUGGCGGAAAUUAUGGUCUGUACAGAGGCGCAGCGAUGACAGUGGGCACAGCCAUGGGUAUGGACACCAGUCGGUUCUUUGAGUAUGUCCGCAUUGUCCAGAUGGUGAGAAGAAAAAUGCAAGGAAUUGCCUGA